rnacentral:rRNA from 1 species
GAUGAACGCUGGCGGCGUGCCUAAUACAUGCAAGUCGAGCGAACGGACGAGAAGCUUGCUUCUCUGAUGUUAGCGGCGGACGGGUGAUUAACACGUGGAUAACCUACCUAUCAGACUGGGAUAACUUCGGGAAACCGGAGCUACUACCGGAUAAUAUUUUGCACCUCAUUGUUCAAAAGUUAAAGACGGUCUUGCUGUCACUUAUAGAUUGAUCCGCGCUGCAUUAGCUAGUUGGUAAGGUAACGGCUUACCAAGGCAACGAUGCAUAGCCGGCCUGAGAGGGUGAUCGGCCACACGGGAACUGAGGCACGGUCCAGACUCCUACGGGAGGCAGCAGUAGGGAAUCUUACGCAAGGGGCGAAAGCCUGACGGAGCAACGCCGCGUGAGUGAUGAAGGUCUUAGGAUCGUAAAACUCUGUUAUUAGGGAAGAACAUAUGUGUAAGUACCUGUGCACAUCUUGACGGUACCGAAUCAGAAAGCCACGGCUAACUACGUG